rnacentral:rRNA from 1 species
GAUGAACGCUGGCGGCGUGCCUAAUACAUGCAAGUCGAGCGAACAGGUCAGUAUCUUGCGCCUCUGACGUUAGCGGCGGACGGGUGAGUAACGCGUGGAUAACCUACCUAUAAGACUGGGAUAACUUCGUGAAAGCGGAGCUAAUGCCUGAUAAUAUAUUUAACCGCAUGGUUCUGUAGUGAAAGACGGUUUUGCUGUCACUUAUAGAUGGAUCCGCGCCGCAGUAGCUAGUUGGUCAAGUAACGGCUUACCAAGGCAGCGAUGCGUAGCCGACGCGAGAGAGGGUUCGGCAACACUGGAGAUGAGAGACGGUCCAGACACAUAAGGGAGGCAGCAGUAGGGAAUCUUCAGCAAUGGGAGGAAGGCUGACGGAGCCACGAAGGGCGAGUGAAGAAGAUCCGCGGAUCGUAACACACUGUUAUGAGGGAAGACCGAAUGUGUAAGUAAAUACGCAGUUCUUGACGGGACCUACUAAAAAAGCAACGGCUAACUACGUG